UUUAACAUAAGUGUUAAGUAUCAGAAAGAAAAUCGUUAUUGAGUAAUUUAUUCUGUUGACUUUCACAACAAUGUGAAGUUGUUUGCUGUUUGAUGGGUCGGAAGCCACGUCACAACGUGCUAACCUUAACAAAAUGAUUGGAUUGAUUACUUUUGCAUGUUAUUAUCCUGGUGUGUAUAAGGUGUGUUCAAACUGCUUGUCAUUAUGUAUAUGGUAAUUUUGUAAUGUCUUUUGUGUUUAAGGUGAUGGGCAGUUCAAGAUUGCUGUCGUUCAAGAAGUUAAUGACCACUGUUGAGGUUGUGAGCUACAAAUACCCAGAAGAGGCGGCACUUACAUUGGAGUUCAUACAGAAAGUUUUCCUAUGAAGAAAUCCUAAAUGAGGGUUGAGAUGAAGGAAACCAAGUAGGUGAUGGGCAGUUCAAGAUUGCUGUCGUUUGAGAAGUUAAUGAACAAAUCAUCUUUCCUGUUGCGGUUGUGAGCUACAAAAUACCCAGAGGAGGCGGCACUUACUCUGGAGUUCAUACAGAAAAUUUUCCUGUGAAGAAAUCCUAAACGUGGUUUGAGAUGAAGGCAACCAAGUGGCUGUGCGUUCCUCCAAGACUCUUGCAUGAACAAUUUAAAAAAUCCAUGUAAUAUUUGAGUUUUUAAAUUGAAAAAAAUGGCACUUGCAUUAAACAUUCAGUUAAAUGGUAAAUAAUACAUCCCCUAUAAUGAAUUGCAUCACUUCAAUGAUAUUUCUGUUAUAAUGAACUUCAAAAUUCUGUUGUCAAGCCACUGGAGUCACAUACUUUAUACCUUUCUGGACCUUGAAAAUGGUAGUUGCAUAGACAAUCAAUAGAGGGACAGAAAGUACCCAGAUUUAACUAAAAAUACUCUUAAUUUGUGUUCUAAAAAUGAAUGAAAGUCUUAUGGGUUUGGAAUGGUAUGAGUAAUUGACUGAAUUAGCAUUUUUUUGUGUGAACUAUCCCUCUAAACAAUAUUGUUUUCUCUUAUAAGAAAAAAAAGUUUUGAAUCUUGACUGUUUCUCAUUGUGACGUUUAAAUUUUGUGACCACUUUUUAGUACAACACCUGUAUUGUACAGAUGCUCAUGUUUUCUUUUUUCUUUUUUUAAAUUCUGUCCGUUACUGUUUAAAGCUAAACUGUCUUUUACAAUACAGCCAUUUUGCCUGAGUUGACACAUUGUUAAAUGAAUUGAGUAUUUGAUGCUGCUUAGUCCUAACCCACUUAAGGCAAACAAAAGCCAUUGAAUGCACUUUUAAGAAUGUUUACAUGAAGUAAAAAUAAACCAUGUUCAAAUUUGUAUAUUGUGCUGGAUUUAUUUGCUUUAUGUAUAUAUAAAUAUAUAAAUAUACCA